rnacentral:rRNA from 1 species
UACGUAGGGUGCGAGCGUUAAUCGGAAUUACUGGGCGUAAAGCGUGCGCAGGCGGUUUUGUAAGCCAGAUGUGAAAGCCCCGGGCUCAACCUGGGAAUGGCAUUUGGGACUGCAAGGCUUGAGUGCGGCAGAGGAGACUGGAAUUCCUGGUGUAGCGGUGAAAUGCGCAGAUAUCAGGAGGAACACCAAUUGCGAAGGCAGCUCGCUGGGACGUUACUGACGCUGAGACGCGAAAGCGUGGGGAGCAAACAGG